rnacentral:rRNA from 1 species
UGAGCAAUCUGCCCUUCUCUUCGGAAUAAGCGUUGGAAACGACGUCUAAUGCCGAAUACGACCUCCUUUCGCAUGAUCGGAGGUGGAAAGCUCCGGCGGAGAAGGAUGAGCUCGCGGCCUAUCAGCUAGUUGGUGUGGGUAAUGGCCCACCAAGGCAACGAUGCGUAGCCGACCUGAGAGGGUGAUCGGCCACAUUGGAACUGAGACACGGUCCAGACUCUACGGGAGG